UUUAACUGAAGAGUUUGAUCAUGGCUCAGAUUGAACGCUGGCGGCAGGCUUAACACAUGCAAGUCGAGCGGGGGAAGGUAGCUUGCUACUGGACCUAGCGGCGGACGGGUGAGUAAUGCUUAGGAAUCUGCCUAUUAGUGGGGGACAACAUCUCGAAAGGGAUGCUAAUACCGCAUACGUCCUACGGGAGAAAGCAGGGGAUCUUCGGACCUUGCGCUAAUAGAUGAGCCUAAGUCGGAUUAGCUAGUUGGUGGGGUAAAGGCCUACCAAGGCGACGAUCUGUAGCGGGUCUGAGAGGAUGAUCCGCCACACUGGGACUGAGACACGGCCCAGACUCCUACGGGAG
rnacentral:rRNA from 1 species